CCUUGUACACACCGCCCGUCACACCAUGAGAGUUUGUAACACCCGAAGCCGGUGGCGUAACCCUUUUAGGGAGCGAGCCGUCUAAGGUGGGACAAAUGAUUAGGGUGAAGUCGUAACAAGGUAGCCGUAGGAGAACCUGCGGCUGGAUCACCUCCUUUCUAAGGAAACAGACUGAAAGUCUGACGGAAACCUGCACACACGAAACUUUGUUUAGUUUUGAGGGGAUUACCCUCAAGCACCCUAGCGGGUGCGACUUUGUUCUUUGAAAACUGGAUAUCAUUGUUGUAAAUGUUUUAAAUUGCCGAGAACACAGCGUAUUUGUAUGAGUUUCUAAUAAUAGAAAUUCGCAUCGCAUAACCGCUGACGCAAGUCAGUACAGGUUAAGUUACAAAGGGCGCACGGUGGUGCCUUGGCA
rnacentral:misc_RNA from 1 species